GCCCGUGUGGCUCAGUGGGUAGAGCGCCGGCCUGCGGACAACUGAAGGGUCCCUGGUUCGAUUCCGGUCGAGGGCA
rnacentral:tRNA from 1 species